rnacentral:pre_miRNA from 1 species
ACUAAAGGGCCUGAUCCAAAGCCCACUGAAGUCAAUGGAAAGACUCCCAUGGACUUCAGUGGGCUUUGGAUCAGGACCCAAAUAUGU